CUUCCUUUGUCCUUCUGAGGAAGAAGAAGUGAAUGAUUGACAGGACAAAUCACAGUGGGCCUUUGGGUGACAGGUGAACUUGGCAGCAAGUUGUCAACAGUACAUCGCUGUGUCAGGAUGUGUCGGCUGGCUGACUCACCAUGGCAACUGCUGAGUGACAGGCAUAGCAGGGCUUGCUCCGUGUCUUUGUUUUGCCUCGGGAUGAGUGGUUGAGCAAGAGGAAGAGGACCGUGGUGGAAGUGCACUCGAGUCCUAUACUUGAGUACACAUUCAAGAUCAAAACUGCGAACAUGACAGACUGGGUUGCAUUCCUCUCAGGUGAUGACAGCGAUAAUCCACAGGCAGUCUGGAUUCAGCCGAGCAUAGAUGAUAAGAAAUGGGCUCCUAUGUACACCUCAAAAUUCUUCAAACAACGUAUUUGGGGGAUGACUGUUGUCUUCAUCCUACUGUGAGUCAUUUCCUAGAACCAGUAGCCAAUUGGGAAAGAUAAAACCUUCAACGUUUCCAGUAAAGCACCAGUGCUGGGCGUCACAGCUUCCUAAUAACUUGUGUACUCUCCACAUGGGCUGAUGGUUCCAGAGGCAACGCCCCUCAUCUGUUACUCUGUUGGAAAGAUGGCUGCCGCUCUGAUGCUGGUGCUGCCCUUUCUCCUGCUAAUACCCAUCAUCCUGAAGACAUCACUUUGGAUAGGAGUUACCAAAACCAAGAAUCCAUGAAAAACCUGUUUGCAGUGAGUGUAAAAAUGGGUUAAAACAGCUAAUUCAAUGUGUCCAAUGUUUGUCCACCUUGGUAUAAAAGAAUGAGCAUGAUUUAAAAAAAUCUGCGUUAAGAGGUAACAAACCAUCUGUACCGUAACUUGGUAUGUAAAAGAGGUAUAAGUGAGAGAAAAUAUAAUUUGACCUGCAUAAACACAACACGACUAGAGAUUGAGGAACGCAAAAGUUAAAG